rnacentral:rRNA from 1 species
UACGUAGGGUGCAAGCGUUGUCCGGAAUUAUUGGGCGUAAAGAGCUCGUAGGCGGUUCGUCGCGUCGGCUGUGAAAACCCGGAGCUCAACUCCGGGCCUGCAGUCGAUACGGGCGGACUUGAGUGUUGCAGGGGAGACUGGAAUUCCUGGUGUAGCGGUGAAAUGCGUAGAUAUCGGGAGGAACACCAGUGGCGAAGGCGAUCUUCUGGACGGAUACUGACGCUGAGGCGCGAAAGCUAGGGGAGCAA